ACGAGCCUACCAUGCAGUCGAGCGAGAUCUUCGGAUCUAGCGGCGGACGGGUGAGUAACGCGUGGGAACGUACCCUCUUCUGCGGGAUAGCCACUGGAAACGGUGAGUAAUACCGCAUACGCCCUUCGGGGGAAAGAUUUAUCGGAGGAGGAUCGGCCCGCGUUGGAUUAGGUAGUUGGUGGGGUAAUGGCCUACCAAGCCUACGAUCCAUAGCUGGUUUUAGAGGAUGAUCAGCCACACUGGGACUGAGACACGGCCCAGACUCCUACGGGAGGCAGCAGUGGGGAAUCUUAGACAAUGGGCGCAAGCCUGAUCUAGCCAUGCCGCGUGAGUGACGAAGGCCUUAGGGUCGUAAAGCUCUUUCGCCUGUGAUGAUAAUGACAGUAGCAGGUAAAGAAACCCCGGCUAACUCCGUGCCAGCAGCCGCGGUAAUACGGAGGGGGUUAGCGUUGUUCGGAAUUACUGGGCGUAAAGCGCACGUAGGCGGAUUGGAAAGUAUGGGGUGAAAUCCCAGGGCUCAACCCUGGAACGGCCUCAUAAACUUCCAGUCUGGAGUUCGAGAGAGGUGAGUGGAAUUCCGAGUGUAGAGGUGAAAUUCGUAGAUAUUCGGAGGAACACCAGUGGCGAAGGCGGCUCACUGGCUCGAUACUGACGCUGAGGUGCGAAAGUGUGGGGAGCAAACAGGAUUAGAUACCCUGGUAGUCC
rnacentral:rRNA from 1 species